rnacentral:rRNA from 1 species
AGUGAACGCUGGCGGUAGGCCUAACACAUGCAAGUCGAACGGAAGUUCAGUAAGUGCUGGCUCUUACGGGUGGCGAGUGGCGGACGGGGGAGGGAUGCUCCGGAUUCUACUUUUUCGUGGGGGUUAACGAAGGGUUUUUUACGCUAAUACCCCAUACGAUCUGUGGGUGAAAGCGUGUGUUCUUCUGGCCUUGGGCGAUUUCAUGCGCCGACGUCGGAUUAGCUAGUUGGCGGGGUAACGGCCCACCAAGGCGACGAUCCGUAGCUGGUCUGAGAGGGUGAUCAGCCACACUGGAACUGAGACACGGUCCAGACUCCUACGGGAGGCAGCAGUGGUGAAUAUUGGACGAUGGGCGCAAGCCUGAUCCAGCCAUACCGCGUGGGUGAAGAAGGCCUUCGGGUUGUAAAGCCCUUUUGUUGGGAAAGAAAAGCAGCAGGUUAAUACCCCGCUGUUCUGACGGUACCCAAAGAAUAAGCACCGGCUAACUUCGUG